AUCUUUUCAACUUCUAUCCCUAUGCAUCUUCUCUCGUGACUCUUAACCUUCUCAGUAUCUCUCAUACGAAAGUUUGUUUUUCUCCCUGGAAGCUUUUUUCUUUCUUUCCCUUCAACUAUGUUCUUCCUUAUUCUCUCUGCUAAACGCCGCAAGAUCUGCGGAUUACUUGACUCUUCUAUUUAAUGUAAUUCAUCUCAACAAACUUGGCUAAUUAAUAUGUGAAAAAUUAUUG
rnacentral:lncRNA from 1 species